GGUUGCCGGUAAAUCUCAUGCCACCACCGGAGUAGCUGAUUUUUUACGAUCUCUUCAAGCUCUUAAUAUUCACAAAGUAAGCGUAAGCUGGUUGAACAAUGGCUCAGUAGUAUCAUACCUGAAACCCUCAGACCACACUCCAAAGUGUGUUCUCCCAACAUUAGAAAAGGACCAGAUGCGCUGCAGCCGCCUAGUAAUUAAAGUGGCAAGGGUACCUGCAAUAGAAAAAAGAAAACAUCUUAACGAAGCUUGUAAAGAACAAACCCCGAUACAGGGAUGGAUGAUCUCCAAGUGCGCCGCUACGGACAGAGAGAAGGAACUCCGGAGACUCACAAAGCACUACAACCAUCCACGUACUCCACCUCUUCGAACAAGAGGAAGGUUCUUCAACAGCAAACUCUAGCGAAUCAGUGACAUACGAGACUUCCACACACAAAUAAUAAAAUCCGACUAC
rnacentral:lncRNA from 1 species